rnacentral:rRNA from 1 species
UACCGGAUAGGAGCUCCUGCUGCAUGGUGGGGGUUGGAAAGUUUCGGCGGUUGGGGAUGGACUCACGGCUUAUCAGCUUGUUGGUGGGGUAGUGGCUUACCAAGGCUUUGACGGGUAGCCGGCCUGAGAGGGUGACCGGCCACAUUGGGACUGAGAUACGGCCCAGACUCCUACGGGAGGCAGCAGUGGGGAAUAUUGCACAAUGGCCGGAAGCCUGAUGCAGCAACCCCGCGUGCGGGAUGACGGCCUUCGGGUUGUAAACCGCUUUCGCCUGUGACGAAGCGUGAGUGACGGUAAUGGGUAAAGAAGCACCGGCUAACUACGUGCCAGCAGCCGCGGUGAUACGUAGGGUGCGAGCGUUGUCCGGAUUUAUUGGGCGUAAAGGGCUCGUAGGUGGUUGAUCGCGUCGGAAGUGUAAUCUUGGGGCUUAACCCUGAGCGUGCUUUCGAUACGGGUUGACUUGAGGAAGGUAGGGGAGAAUGGAAUUCCUGGUGGAGCGGUGGAAUGCGCAGAUAUCAGGAGGACACCAGUGGCGAAGG